UACGUAGGGGGCAAGCGUUGUCCGGAAUUAUUGGGCGUAAAGAGCGUGUAGGCGGCCAGAUAAGUCCGCUGUGAAAUUUCGGGGCUCAACCCCGAACUUGCAGUGGGUACGGGCAGACUAGAGUGUGGUAGGGGAGACUGGAAUUCCUGGUGUAGCGGUGAAAUGCGCAGAUAUCAGGAGGAACACCGAUGGCGAAGGCAGGUCUCUGGGCCACUACUGACGCUGAGAAGCGAAAGCAUGGGGAGCGAACAGG
rnacentral:rRNA from 1 species